rnacentral:rRNA from 1 species
GAUGAACGCUAGCGACAGGCUUAACACAUGCAAGUCGAGGGGCAGCGGGGAUUUAGCUUGCUAAAUCUGCCGGCGACCGGCGCACGGGUGAGUAACGCGUAUGCAACCUACCUAUCAGUAAGGGAUAGCCCAUUGAAAGAUGGCUUAAUACCUUAUAAAGCAGGGGUCCCGCAUGGGAAUAUUUGCUAAAGAUUAAUCGCUGAUAGAUGGGCAUGCGUUCCAUUAGUUAGUUGGUGAGGUAACGGCUCACCAAGGCAUCGAUGGAUAGGGGUUCUGAGAGGAAGGUCCCCCACACUGGUACUGAGACACGGACCAGACUCCUACGGGAGGCAGCAGUGGAGAAUAUUGGGCAAUGGGGGAAACCCUGACCCAGCGACGCCGCGUGAGUGAAGACGGCCUUCGGGUUGUAAAGCUCUGUUUCGAGGGACGAUAAUGACGGUACCUCGGGAGGAAGCCACGGCUAACUACGUGCCAGCCGCCGCUGUAACAC